CUGAAUAGUAGUUACUGCACUGUGACACUACUUCAGUUUAAUUUGUGAAAGUUAUUCUUAAAGUGGACGUGACAUAUAUUUGGCCAUUGUUUAUAGGUCAGGUUUUUUAUAUGGGACGAAUCCAAAGACCAGGUCAGCGAUUCCAGAACCCAGAGUGUUCCAGUGUUCACUGGAUGGCGAGCCAACCCAAGAUCCUAGGAGAUGAUAUACAUACACACGCACACUCAUUUGCACAUUGAUGGACUAUAAUCCUCUACUGUACAAGUAGUACGAUGAACCCUGACCUCAAAUAUGAAAACAUCUCAGCUCAGUCAGCAGAGCAGGAUGAUCAUCACUACAGCAGACUGCACUUCAGUGACAACCACACAGCUGACCUCUACUCCACCAUCGAGCCACUGCCUGCUCACUAAAGAAGUGUUUGUUACCAUGGUGAUUUAAAGGGACCGUUUCCCCUUAAGGUUUUAGUAUCAUAGCAGAGACACCAAAGCUGCUACAUCAGUCAGUGUUUGUACUCUCUGUACUGGAUCAUAAAAAACAGAAAGGAAUAACAGAAAUAUAGAAAUGCCUGAGCUUUUCCAUUCAAACAUAUCUGAUAAUGAAAUGCAUGUGUUACAAAUGUCAGAAAUGAAAACAUCAAAGCUAUCAUGUCUGCAGGAACUUAUUUUAUUUAUUUUUUUUUAAUUUUUGGAAUGAAAAUGUAAUGAAAUGUGAUCAUAUCACAUGUUUAACUCCUUUAUAAAAGUGAAAAAAAUAUAAUAAUAAAGCCAGAGAAUGUUGAUAAGUAAUAGAAAACAAAAAAUUCAAAGGUAAAAUCAGUAUGAAGUGGAAAAAUGUCCUGCAAUACAUCAAUUCUUCACUAGAGGGCUCAUCUGCGAGGAAAAAGAAAAGAUAAAUGAGGAAGUGAUGGUGUUAAAGCUGAAUGCAGUUUAUCUGCAGACACACACAGGUCAGUCAUUCCUGUUAGAUGUUGAUUUUUGACAUUCAAUCAUGUUUUUGAUAUUUUCUAAUCUCUAAUGAUUUUUAUGAAAUAUGUACUACCAGUGAUCAGCCAUUUAUCACAAUAAUGUUAAUCAACAUACAACCACCUUUCUUGUUAAGAGUAAAAAAUCUAUAACAGCCAUGAUGAUGGCAGAAGCUGGAGUCUUGUUUUUGGGUUUUCAUUCUGUGUUUCUUGUUUCUCCUCCUCAUGAUGACCGUCAUGAUGUUUGUGGUUUCAAUGUAAAUGCAAAAGUUAUGAAAUUAUGUUAGAAAACAGGAAUUUCUAAUCCUUAACAGUAAUG
ensembl:lncRNA